rfam:Nosema ceranae BRL01 Nc000109, whole genome shotgun sequence.
GCUCCCGUAGCUCAGUGGUAAGAGCGUGGUACUUAUAUGCUGAAAAGCUGUGUAGAUUGGCUGAGACAUGCCAAGGUCGCGGGUUCGACCCCCGCCGGGAGCA